ACGGGAGGCAGCAGUGGGGAAUAUUGCACAAUGGGGGGAACCCUGAUGCAGCAACGCCGCGUGAGGGAAGACGGUUUUCGGAUUGUAAACCUUUGUCUUUGGUGAAGAAGAAGUGACGGUAGCCAAGGAGGAAGCCACGGCUAACUACGUGCCAGCAGCCGCGGUAAUACGUAGGUGGCAAGCGCUGUCCGGAAUUACUGGGUGUAAAGGGAGCGCAGGCGGGACAGCAAGUCAGCUGUGGAAACCACGGGCUUAACCUGUGGACUGCAGUUGAAACUGUUGUUCUUGAGUGAAGUAGAGGUAGGCGGAAUUCCGAGUGUAGCGGUGAAAUGCGUAGAUAUUCGGAGGAACACCAGUGGCGAAGGCGGCCUACUGGGCUUUAGCUGACGCUGAGGCUCGAAAGUGUGGGGAGCAAACAGGAUUAGAUACCCUGGUA
rnacentral:rRNA from 1 species